UAGGGAAUCUUCGGCAAUGGACGAAAGUCUGACCGAGCAACGCCGCGUGAGUGAAGAAUGUUUUCGGAUCGUAAAACUCUGUUGUUAGAGAAGAACAAGGAUGAGAGUAGAAUGUUCAUCCCUUGACGGUAUCUAACCAGAAAGCCACGGCUAACUACGUGCCAGCAGCCGCGGUAAUACGUAGGUGGCAAGCGUUGUCCGGAUUUAUUGGGCGUAAAGCGAGCGCAGGCGGUUUCUUAAGUCUGAUGUGAAAGCCCCCGGCUCAACCGGGGGAGGGUCAUUGGAAACUGGGAAACUUGAAUGCAGAAGAGGAGAGUGGAAUUCCAUGUGUAGCGGUGAAAUGCGUAGAUAUAUGGAGGAACACCAGUGGCGAAGGCGGCUCUCUGGUCUGUAACUGACGCUGAGGCUCGGAAAGCGGUGGGGA
rnacentral:rRNA from 1 species